AAAUAGCAUACAAUGGGUCAGUAUGGGUCUUUUUUAAAUUAGAUUGGGUGAAUUUGGGUGAGGAAAUUUAGUUAAGGGGGUCAAAUUGGGUUAUUUAAAAAAUAAAAAGAUUUAUCUACGGGUCAGACCGGGUUGAAAAAUUAGGACGGGUCAGUUAGGGUUGAAAAGAAAGAAAGCACGGGUUGAAUAAUGGGUUAUCUUCUUCAUUCUUCAAUCUGAUUGAAUCAAACCGACAGCUGCCAGAAGAAAUCAUAAAAAGAAGAACUACCACUGCCAGAUCAAGCUGUCAUGGGUUAAAUUCGAGGCCCCAAUACCUCUUAAUUUCGUAUAAUUUUGUUUCUCCAGUUGCUGAAUAUCCAAAUUACAACCUAAUUUCAGUUUUCCGACUAAGCUAUAGCGGGUCGCAUUACUAUACGCUGCACUGAUGAACCAAUACCAAUACCGACAUCAGUAUUGUUAUAACACCAAUACCGACAUUAGUCCAGUUGACAUACCGAGUGCAAGUAAUUCAAUGAACCGAAUUGAACCAAUACCAACCGAAUUCUCGCACCAUAGGUUGAUGUAAACAAUAACUUUUUAACUUUCAAUUUCACUCUUAUACUAUAAAUAAUACACGUCUUUAACUUAUUUAACUUUUAUUUAAUUUGAUUUCUCUAAUAACAUGGUUUGUCAACUUUUUUUUAAGUUGCAUGCUCAACUC